rnacentral:rRNA from 1 species
UUGGAGGGCAAGUCUGGUGCCAGCAGCCGCGGUAAUUCCAGCUCCAAUAGCGUAUAUUAAAGUUGUUGCAGUUAAAAAGCUCGUAGUUGAAUUUCGGGGUUCUACCGUUGGUCGGGCUAUUGUCUGUACUGGCGUGUAGAAUUUCUACCUUCUGGGGAACUAUCAUGUUAUUAAUUUAGCGUGGUAGGAAACCAGGACCUUUACCUUGAAAAAAUUAGAGUGUUUAAAGCAGGCUAACGCUUGAAUACAUUAGCAUGGAAUAAUGAAAUAGGACGAUCGAUCCUAUUUUGUUGGUUUCUAGGAUUGACGUAAUGAUUAAUAGGGAUAGUUGGGGGCAUUAGUAUUCAAUUGUCAGAGGUGAAAUUCUUGGAUUUAUUGAAGACUAACUACUGCGAAAGCAUUUGCCAAGGAUGUUUUCAUUAAUCAAGAACGAAAGUUAGGGGAUCGAAGACGAUCAGAUACCGUCGUAGUCUUAACCAUAAACUAUGCCGACUAGGGAGCGGAUGAUGUUAAUUUUUUAAUGACUCAUUCGGCGCCUUACGGGAAA